rnacentral:snRNA from 1 species
GUGCCUGCUUUGGCAGCACACAUACUCAAAGUUAGAAUGAUAGAAGAUGAGCAUGGCCCCUGUCAAGGAUGACAUGCAAAUUCAUGAAGUGUUCCCUAUCUUU